GACGAACGCUGGCGGCGUGCUUAACACAUGCAAGUCGAACGGAAAGGCCCUGCUUUUGUGGGGUGCUCGAGUGGCGAACGGGUGAGUAACACGUGAGUAACCUGCCCUUGACUUUGGGAUAACUUCAGGAAACUGGGGCUAAUACCGGAUAGGAGCUCCUGCUGCAUGGUGGGGGUUGGAAAGUUUCGGCGGUUGGGGAUGGACUCGCGGCUUAUCAGCUUGUUGGUGGGGUAGUGGCAUACCAAGGCUUUGACGGGUAGCCGGCCUGAGAGGGUGACCGGCCACAUUGGGACUGAGAUACGGCCCAGACUCCUACGGGAGGCAGCAGUGGGGAAUAUUGCAAAAUGGGCGGAAGCCUGAUGCAGCAACGCCGCGUGCGGGAUGACGGCCUUCGGGUUGUAAACCGCUUUCGCCUGUGACGAAGCGUGAGUGACGGUAAUGGGUAAAGAAGCACCGGCUAACUACGUG
rnacentral:rRNA from 1 species